GUAAACAUUGGAAGUCAGUUUUGAAAAGCAAAUCGAAAUCGAGAGUAAUACAACUAGAAAUACAUGCAUGCAACAACCCCUCGCCUAUAUUUUCCAAACAUUGUUUCAACAUGAAGUAUUCGUAAUUUCGCCAACACUGAACGCAGGCACAGAAUAAAGACAUACAGAAGUGCAACUUCCAUUACAAAACCGUAAGGCGCUUUUUACCGAAAUAGCUGGCGGCCAUGUUCUUAGCAAGUGCCCUAAAGAGAGGCAUUCACCCCCCUGGAAUAUUAAAUUUUCAAUAUGUUUUCAGGGGGUGACUGCCUCUCUUUAGGGCACUUGCUAAGAACAUGGCGGACUGAAAAAAUCCCUUACGCACUUUUAAUAAGAAGAUACACUUCUGUAUGUCUUUAUUCUGUGACGCAGGCUCGUGUUGCCACGUCAUGUUAGUCAUGGGAGCACGAUAAUUGUUUUUUAAUUUUUUGUACAAACUGGGAAAAAAUAGAUGAAAUUUGAACACUUUUAAAUACAGAACUAUCAAUUUGUAAAAUAUAUAAAGUAGGUAUAAUAUUUUGGUUUCUAUGGGGUUGAUUUUAAUGUGAAAUUCAGA